AGCUCCAAUAGCGUAUAUUAAAGUUGUUGCAGUUAAAAAGCUCGUAGUUGAAUUUCUGGUCAGUCUUGCACUGCGCAUCUCGCCGGGGCAAGGUUUGAUCAUCCGUAGGGGAAGCCAGUUCGUACUUCACUGUACGGCUGGGGGAACCUACAAUUUACUGUGAAAAAAUUAGAGUGUUCCAGGCAGGCAAUCGCUUGAAUACUCCAGCAUGGAAUAAUGGAAUAAGACUUCUGUCGAUUUGUUGGUUUGAGAUAGAAGUAAUGAUUAAUAGGGACAGUUGGGGGCAUUCGUAUUUAAUUGUCAGAGGUGAAAUUCUUGGAUUUAUUAAAGACGAACUUAUGCGAAAGCAUUUGCCAAGGAUGUUUUCA
rnacentral:rRNA from 2 species